GGGAAGUGGCCUUUAUUAGUGGCUGAAUAAAAAGGGUAGAAAGCCAAUGUAGUUCUCGACCCUCAACUCUUUAAACGACAUCCCCAAUCAUUACCCCUAAAGCCAUGCACCAAACACUGUAUCCACCAAAUGCCAUUCCUCAAGACCACUAUUACUCAUAAGGAUGAGGUCUACAUGGACCAAGCCAUUCCCCACAUCACCAAGUCCCACAUGAAGGACUUGGAACCCAAAUGCC
rnacentral:lncRNA from 1 species